rnacentral:rRNA from 1 species
GUGGGGAAUAUUGGACAAUGGGCGAAAGCCUGAUCCAGCCAUGCCGCGUGUGUGAAGAAGGCCUUCGGGUUGUAAAGCACUUUCAGUGGGGAAGAAAGCCUUGGGGCUAAUACCCUCGAGGAAGGACAUCACCCACAGAAGAAGCACCGGCUAACUCCGUGCCAGCAGCCGCGGUAAUACGGAGGGUGCGAGCGUUAAUCGGAAUUACUGGGCGUAAAGCGCGCGUAGGCGGUCUGAUAAGCCGGUUGUGAAAGCCCCGGGCUCAACCUGGGAACGGCAUCCGGAACUGUCAGGCUAGAGUGCAGGAGAGGAAGGUAGAAUUCCCGGUGUAGCGGUGAAAUGCGUAGAGAUCGGGAGGAAUACCAGUGGCGAAGGCGGCCUUCUGGACUGACACUGACGCUGAGGUGCGAAAGCGUGGGUAGCAAACAGGAUUAGAUACCCGAGUAGUCC